rnacentral:rRNA from 1 species
UAAUACGAAGGUGGCGAGCGUUGUUCGGAAUCACUGGGCUUAAAGCGCGCGUAGGCGGAAUAGAUAGUGUCUUGUGAAAUCCCCCGGCUUAACCGGGGAACUGCUUGGCAUACUACUAUUCUUGAGGUAAGUAGGGGUACAUGGAACUCUUGGUGGAGCGGUGGAAUGCGUAGAUAUCAAGAGGAACGCCAAUGGUGAAGACAGUGUACUGGGCUUAUUCUGACGCUGAGGUGCGAAAGCGUGGGGAGCGAAAGGGAUUAGAUACCCCUGUAGUCCACGCCGUAAACGAUGUCUACUAGGUUGUGGAGGUUCUGACACCCUCACAGUCGAAGCAAAAGUGUUAAGUAGACCGCCUGGGAAGUACGGUCGCAAGGCUA